AUAUAUAUAUAUCCUGCCUUGCGCUUAAUUCCUACGUCACCUGAUCAUGUCAGGCCUAUAAGUAGAGGCAUGAUUUUACACAAGCUUCAGAUACCGGUCACGCGCGCAAGGCGUUCCCAUACUGAAAGCUCAUCACAUUAUAGAAUAAAGUUAAUAAGUGGAACCUGAACAUCAAUAGUAACUUUCACCGUUUGAGCAUGGUCUGGACUUUAAGUUCACUUGGAAAUCCUCUAUAAGUUAUUGGUCAUGGGGGGAAAUAAGAUUAAUCCAUCAGGAUCACGUUACGAUCUAUAAUUACAUCAUCAUUUACACUCCGUGUUGUUCAUGAUCAGGUGAUUUGUAGGAUGUAGAAAUCCGUCUCCAGAUUUUGAGUGAGUUUUAUGAACACGGUAACGUCCCUACACGCACCUCAGACAAGAUUUUUCACUUUAUUCGGUUUAUUCUAAUUCUGUAACCUUGACAACACUGUGACGUCAUGGCUCAGCCAGCAAUAAAACAUUCCACUCAGCUGAAGUGGUCUUUGGUUUCUACAGACAGAUCACUGAGAGACUUGUUUCUGCACGACAGAACGAUUUUCAAAAAUGAGGAGGAAUCACAAAAAGACACCUCAGCAUCAAGCUAUGCAGGGAUUAAGGAGUAGUAAAAUGGACAUAGUGUCCAGAACAAGAGAAAAAGCAGCAAUGACGAUCACUCCAGAAUCGAGUAACAGGCCUACAAACCAAGAUUUCUUGCAGCAAACUGCACGACCUGAGGAAGUUCUGCAUAGAACGCCCAGAAUGGAUCCGAUUGGUCUUCCCCCAUCCAGAGCACCGGUGUGUGGGGAAAAGUUAAGCAAAACAACCAGCAAUCCUGAGGAACUUACAGGUACUACAGAGGUAAAGAGUAAGUCUCUUGAGGCUACAAUUGAGGUAGAACCUCAAUUAAGAACCAACAUUACUGAUGCUAUCCUGGAUUGUAUAACCUCUACAUCGUUCAAGAAUCAGCUCGCUCUGCGCAUUGUGGGUGAGAUUGAUGAUAUACUAGCAAAAGCUGUGUCCCAGGUUCACGAGAAACAGCAUGCUGUGAGUUUCGAAACAGCAGAAGAUAAGACGAACAUCUCCCCGGAACAACAAUCGAGCAACAAUGUUUUCAUGCCUGGCUUCAGUGAUGGUGUGGCAUCUGUGCUUGGUUAUGCACUGAUAGAAGUUAGAGAACAUGUGAAAAAAACUUUUAGAAGCCAGUCACACAAAUUUCAGACAGUCUCACCCACGGCAUGCGAUUCUGUAACAGAAAUAGUGGACAGCGUCUUUGAAAGCAUGCUUGAUUCCUUGACUGCUCAACUGAAACCAGAUGUUUGCACUGAAAGGGAUCCUAGCAUGAUUGAUUCUCUUUAUAGUCAUGAGUUUGAUACAGUGUUUGAUAGUAUCCUUCCCAGCACUGACUCAGAUUUCAACCAGAGUCCAGUCCAUGAGCCAAGAGGAAGUGAUGAUGAGUCUAGUGUGACAACUCAGGGCAGUGAGACAUUAGACAUUGUGAAAGAGAGAGCUGACUCCCCAAGAAGAUCUACCAAAGUCCCGUUCUCCACAGUAUUUGACCAGUCUUCUGGACCUGAAGUUAAGGCCAAAGAUGAGGUUGAGGGCAUCUUGGCUGAUUCUGGAAGCAUGAGCCACCUUGAUGACCCUCUGACUUCAAGAAUCAAAUCUGACUCCGAUUCGGAUACAAGCGUUCUUGAGCUCACUGCUACUUCUGCAACGGAAAAUGUUGACCACAUGUCAAGAUCUGAUGAAGUAGCAGAAGAAGGACUUGUGGCUAAAUCAGAUGUUGAGCUUGAGCAAAUCAUGGCUGCUCCUUCUGAGGAAAACACUCCUUCUGACAUAACUUCCCAAAGCCUUGAGCUGAUUGGACACCAGGAAUGUGCUAGCCCUGUCCCUUCACCACCUUCUAGUGAUCAGCCAGAGGAUCUGCCAGCUCUUUGCCAAACAGAGCAUCUUUGACCAGUCUCACCAAAAUGUAGAGAGUGAUGGCAAGCGUAGACUUUCUCUGACUGGCAUGGAAAUGGGUUCUUCUGGAAGCAGAAGUCGCCUUGAUGAACCUCAGUUCAUCUGAAACUUACAACGUUGAAGAAGCUGCAGCAAAAUCAGCUGGAUACAAAGCAGUACUAUGUUGAAAUUAUUCUGACGUAUUAAAUCAUUGCAAAUAAAUGAACCAUCCAUUCAUUAUCUUUUUACACUGUUCUUUCUUGUAUCCAAAUUGUAGCCUCCCCAAGAGGACUGUCGUGGGAAAUAAUCUUUCCAGCCUAACAAAAAGCUUCAGAGACAGAGGGUGUAAUUUGCAGUUGUAAUUUUUCAUGAAGUCGUCAGCCAGUAACAGUCAGGACGAGACUGGGUAGUGGAGGUGUGAUAUGAACAGGGUAAGAGACAAACAGGAGGUUUGCCUUGCUGAAACUUCAACAACUUUUUGUACUUCAGCAAUGUUAAAAUAAAAUAAUUGAAAUAAUCUUUUUUGAGAUGUGUUGCUGCCAUCAAAUUGAAAAUUACCUAUUUUUCCCUUAAAAUUGUACAUUUCCUCAGUUUAAACAUGUGAUAUGUGUUCUACAUUCUAUUGUGAAUAAAAUAUGGGUUUAAGAUUUGCAAAUCAUUGCAUUCUGUUUUUAUUUACAGUUUACCCAUCUUCUAUAUGUUGAUGCUGAUAGUUGUAUCUUCC
ensembl:lncRNA